UAGACUCAGCAUUUCCCACAGUC
rnacentral:piRNA from 1 species